GGAGUAUUUGGCAAUGGGGGAAACCCUGACCGAGCAACGCCGCGUGUGUGAUGAAGGCCUUCGGGUCGUAAAACACUGUGAUUGACUGGGAAACUCAGGAGGAGUGGAAAGCCUUCUGACUGACCGGUCUAUUAGAAAGCAACUGCUAACUACGUGCCAGCAGCAGCGGUAAUACGUAGGUUGCAAGCGUUAUCCGGAAUUAUUGGGCGUAAAGAGUGAGCAGGCGGCUUUGCAAGCCGGGGGUUAAAUGCGGAGGCUUAACCUUCGUUCGUCCCCGGAACUGCAUGGCUAGAGUGCUGGAGAGGCAAGCGGAACUCCACAUGUAGCGGUGAAAUGCGCAGAUAUGUGGAAGAACACCAGUGGCGAAGGCGGCUUGCUAGACAGUAACUGACGCUCAGUCACGAAAGCGUGGGGAGCAAAUA
rnacentral:rRNA from 1 species